CAUAAACGUCUCCACUCCUUCUCAUCACAGCUUCGAAAAUGCCCUGGCUUCCAUCGCGCAGACCAUUGCAUCGCCGCCUCUGCAGUGCGCCGCGCACGUCACUACUCUCCCGUCGCACCGCCAGCUAAUCUGCGUCACUCGCAUUCACGCUGCUCGCCUGUCACAUCCUCGUCGCUCGCGGCUUGCAUACCCAAGGCCAAGCCCGCAUUUGCACCACCGCAACCUCCAUCUCGUCAAUCCUUUGCGUAGCGCUGGUGCCCUCCGCAACCAAUUUCCAUCGCCACAAGGCGCUCUCUGCUAGCGCUGUUUCCUCCUCCACAGAACCACCGUAGUGCCCUUUCCCUCGUGAUUUGCAUCGCCGCCGAUCCUCGCAGCGCGCUCUCUCUCUCUCGUAUCCACCUUCUCAAUCCUUUCUACUUCCUUUCCGCGAAUCAUAUGUUGGGAGGGGCAACUGAAGCAGAUAGAUCAAGACAUUCUAACCCAUAUGAAGACCCUGCGGUGCCCUCUGAUGCUGAGACUGACCAAAAUAAUAACUAAUUGAUUUGUUUUAAAAUGUUUCUUAAAUCUUUUAUGUCAAAUUUUUUGCUUUUUGCAUAAGUGAUUGUAAAGCUGUCAAUAUUUUGUUGAAAUUAGAUACUGACUAUAAUGUAUAGUGGUGUUGCUUACAAGCCUUUUAUUCAUACAUGAUGUUUGCUCGUGUAUUAUCAACCUCAGAAUAUGACAUAAUACUCUUCUCAAAUUUAAAGUUUAUUGUUAGUUUCA